rnacentral:rRNA from 1 species
GAUGAACGCUAGCGGCAGGCUUAAUACAUGCAAGUCGAGGGGCAGCAGGACUGUAGCAAUACAGUUGCUGGCGACCGGCAAACGGGUGCGGAACACGUACGCAAUCUACCCAGAACUGAUGAAUAGCCCUCCGAAAGGAGGAUUAAUACAUCGUAACAUAAUGAAGUGGCAUCACUUUAUUAUUAUAGCUCCGGCGGUUUUGGAUGAGCGUGCGCCNGAUUAGGUAGUUGGCGGGGUAACGGCCCACCAAGCCUUCGAUCAGUAACUGGUGUGAGAGCACGACCAGUCACACGGGCACUGAGACACGGGCCCGACUCCUACGGGAGGCAGCAGUAAGGAAUAUUGGUCAAUGGACGCAAGUCUGAACCAGCCAUGCCGCGUGAAGGAUGAAGGU